UACGUAGGGCGCAAGCGUUAUCCGGAAUUAUUGGGCGUAAAGAGCUCGUAGGCGGUUUGGUAAGUCUGGUGUGAAAUCUCCACGCUCAACGUGGAGGGGCCACCCGAUACUGCCAUGACUGGAGUCCGGUAGAGGAGUGUGGAAUUCCCGGUGUAGCGGUGAAAUGCGCAGAUAUCGGGAGGAACACCCGUAGCGAAGGCGGCACUCUGGGCCGGUACUGACGCUGAGGAGCGAAAGCGUGGGGAGCAAACAGG
rnacentral:rRNA from 1 species